GUUAAAUGAAGAGCUAUCAACCUGGUCAUACUAUAAAGAAGGAAAGAGUAAACUAUUAUAUUGCAUAACAUCAUGACAAGGAAGAUGCUUUUUGAUGGGAAGCUAGGCACUGCUGGUGGGUAGGAGACUUAAAAGGACUUUGAUUUGUUUGCGAUUGAAGAUGGCAUUGGUGAAGUUCGUUCCUCACAAUUUCCUAGUCUAGAACUCAUUUUUCACUUAGUCUAUACACCGUUUGUACUAAAAGUCUAGGAUACAUUUGUAACUAAGAUAUUAAGGUGCAUGACACAUUUUGUGGUUAAA